rnacentral:rRNA from 1 species
UGGGGAAUUUUGGACAAUGGGCGCAAGCCUGAUCCAGCCAUGCCGCGUGAGUGAAGAAGGCCUUCGGGUUGUAAAGCUCUUUCAGUUGGGAAGAAACGAUUGCAACUAAUAAUUGUAAUUAAUGACGGUACCGACAGAAGAAGCACCGGCUAACUACGUGCCAGCAGCCGCGGUAAUACGUAGGGUGCGAGCGUUAAUCGGAAUUACUGGGCGUAAAGGGUGCGCAGGCGGUUUUGUAAGUCAGAUGUGAAAUCCCCGGGCUUAACCUGGGAAUGGCGUUUGAAACUGCAAGGCUAGAGUGUAGCAGAGGGGAUGGAAUUCCGCGUGUAGCAGUGAAAUGCGUAGAUAUGCGGAGGAACACCGAUGGCGAAGGCAGCUCCCUGGGCUAACACUGACGCUCAU